rnacentral:rRNA from 1 species
CCUACGGGUGGCAGCAGUGGGGAAUAUUGGGCAAUGGAGGCAACUCUGACCCAGCAACGCCGCGUGCAGGAAGAAGGCCUUAGGGUUGUAAACUUAUGUUGGAAAGGAAGAAAAGAAUGACGGGACUUUGCAAGAAAGCCCCGGCUAACUAUGUGCCAGCAGCCGCGGUAAGACAUAGGGGGCAAGCGUUGUUCGGAAUUACUGGGCGUAAAGGGAGCGUAGGCGGGCGAUUAAGGUAAGGGUGAAAGCCUUGGGCUCAACCCAAGAAAUGCUUUUAAUACUGGUGUUCUAGAGUGUGGGAGCGGUAAGUGGAAUGAGUAGUGUAGCGGUAGAAUGCGUAGAGAUUAGGAGGAACAUCAGAGGCGCAGGCGGCUUACUGGACCAUAACUGACGCUGAGGCUCGAAAGCGUGGGGAGCAAACAGGAUUAGAUACCCCAGUAGUC